CUAUGAGGAUGAUUCCAUCCGAACUCUCUCUUUCCGAUGCGCCCGUGGGGACGAGUUGAAGCUUCUGAGUGGC